UACGUAGGGGGCUAGCGUUAUCCGGAAUUACUGGGCGUAAAGGGUGCGUAGGUGGUUCUUAAGUCAGAGGUGAAAGGCUACGGCUCAACCGUAGUAAGCCUUUGAAACUGGGAAACUUGAGUGCAGGAGAGGAGAGUGGAAUUCCUAGUGUAGCGGUGAAAUGCGUAGAUAUUAGGAGGAACACCAGUUGCGAAGGCGGCUCUCUGGACUGUAACUGACACUGGAGGCACGAAAGCGUGGGGAGCAAACAGG
rnacentral:rRNA from 1 species